GACGAACCGUGCGAACGUUGUUCGGAUUCACUGGGCUUAAAGGGCGCGUAGGCGGGUGAUCAAGUCAGGGGUGAAAUCCUCCAGCUUAACUGGAGAACAGCCUUUGAUACUGGUCAUCUGGAGGAAGGUAGGGGCAUGUGGAACUAAUGGUGGAGCGGUGAAAUGCGUAGAUAUCAUUAGGAACGCCGGUGGCGAAAGCGACGUGCUGGACCUUUUCUGACGCUGAGGCGCGAAAGCCAGGGGAGCAAACGGG
rnacentral:rRNA from 1 species